rnacentral:rRNA from 1 species
AUGAACGCUGGCGGUAUGCUUAACACAUGCAAGUCGAACGGUCACUUCGGUGAUAGUGGCGGACGGGUGAGUAACGCGUGAGAAUCUGUCUUCAGGUCGGGGACAACAGUUAGAAAUGACUGCUAAUACCGGAUGUGCCUUUGGGUGAAAGAUUUAUUGCCUGAAAAAGAGCUCGCGUCAGAUUAGCUAGUAGGUGGUGUAAGAGACUACCUAGGCUCCGAUCUGUAGCUGGUCUGAGAGGACGAUCAGCCACACUGGAACUGAGACACGGUCCAGACUCCUACGGGAGGCAGCAGUGGGGAAUUUUCCGCAAUGGGCGAAAGCCUGACGGAGCAAUACCGCGUGAGGGACGAAGGCUUUUGGGUCGUAAACCUCUUUUCUCAAGGAAGAUGAUGACGGUACUUGAGGAAUAAGCAUCGGCUAACCCUGUG